ensembl:lncRNA
CUCCUCUGUCUAGACAAAACCAGCAGUUCAAUUUCAGGCUGCAGCAAAGUCAGAUUGUGCAGAAGAAUCAUCUGUUUCCUGUGGACUUGUCCCGGUGGUCGUCUGAGAUAAGGUCUUUACAGGGGAUCUGGGGAUCAUCUAGUUGUCCUGGUCUCCACUGUCUUUCAGGGCUGUAGAGGUCCUUUCUAGGUGCUGAUCCACCAUCUGAGCUGGAUACGUACUGGAUUCGGUUGACUGCAGUGACCAUCUGAUCUGGAUACUGACUGGAUACAGAAGGGUGGAGGUACCGGUCUCCUUAUAUCGAAAGAUUGGAAAUUUGAUCUUCAACCACCACCUACAGGUAACGGUUCAUUUGAAUCACAUGCUGUUACUGUAACCCACCCUGUUAAAAUCCACUUUGUGGUCAUUUAUCGUCCCCCAGGUCAAUUGGGAAACUUCUUGGAGGAGUUGGACGUGCUGCUAUCAAACUAUCCUGAAGAUGGUACUCCUCUGGUACUGCUUGGUGACUUCAACAUCCACCUAGAUAAACCCCAGGCUGCUGACUUCAACACUCUGCUCGCCUCAUUUGAUCUCAAGUGAGUCUCUACUACAGCGACUCACAAAUCGGGCAACCAACUGGACCUCAUCUACACGCGCUGUUGCUCAGUGGACAACACUUUAGUUACUCCACUGCACACCUCAGACCACUUCCUCAUUACUGCUAAUCUAGCACUUACUCCUGAAGCGGCACACGCUCCAACGCGGGUCACCUUUCGACGGAACCUACGCUCACUCUCUCCAUCUCGCCUAUCCUCUGUGGUUGCAUCCUCACUUCCUUCACUCUCGCAGUUUUCAGCUCUGGACACGAACAGUGCUACGGACACUUUUUGUUCCACUCUAACCUCUUGCUUGGACAACUUUUGCCCACUGUCGUCUAGACCAGCACGCACCACCCCAUCUGCCCCCUGGCUGUCCGAUGUACUCCGUGAACAUCGCUCUAAACUCAGGGCUGCAGAGAGGAAAUGGCAUAAAUCAAGAAACUCUACCGACCUCAGUGUGUAUCAGUCUCUCCUCUCUUCCUUCUCUGCAAACGUCUUCACUGCUAAAACAUCAUAUUACCAUGACAAGAUUAACAACUGUUGUGACGCCCGGACACUCUUCAAAACCUUCUCUUCUCUUCUUAAUCCGCCUCCACCUCCUCCUCCAUCGACUCUUACAGCUGACGACUUUGCAGUUUUCUUCACAAAUAAGACAAGAACCAUCAGUGACCAAUUCUCCACACCGCAGACUGAGGGUAACUCCACAACAACUAAUGCUCACUCUUUCUCCUCCUCUCCACUCUCAGAGACGGACAUUUCCAAAAUUAUGCUGUCCAGUCAUCCUACUACUUGCCCACUGAAUCCGAUCCCUACUCACUUCCUUCAAGCGAUUUCUUCUUCAGUUAUACCUUCACUUACUCACAUUAUCAACUCCUCUCUUCACUCUGGAACAUUUCCCUCAGCAUUUAAGCAGGCUCGGGUAAGCCCACUGCUGAAGAAACCAUCUCUAAAUCCAGCACUUCUAGAAAACUACAGACCGGUAUCCCUUCUUCCAUUCAUUGCAAAGACACUCGAACGAGCUGUGUUCAACCAGCUCUCUAUGUUUCUUGUACAGAACAACCUCCUGGACAGCAACCAAUCUGGCUUCAAAAGUGGCCACUCAACUGAGACUGCCCUGCUCUCGGUUACUGAAGCCCUGCGACUGGCAAGAGCAGCUUCAAAAUCCUCAGUACUCAUCUUGCUGGAUCUGUCUGCUAUUUUUGACANNNNNNNNNNNNN